ACAGAGAAAACACACAUCAAAUUGUUUGGUUUUAGCAAGUCAUUUUUUAUAAAUCAUUUUGAAUACGUUUCAUAUUAAGUAAUCCAAAAUGUUAUGAAUGUAAUAAGAAUAACUAAAUUUAAAUGAGGGCAAUAUUAAUUAAACUUACUUUCAUUUUUACACACACAAUUGUGGUUUUAAUAUAUGAUAAAAUAAGCGGAGACAAAAUAACAAAUAACAAAAAUAUCCUUACUAAAAAGGAAUCUUCUGUUACAGAGAAAGAUAACCAGCCUUCAGUAACAUUUAAAGUUUUCUUUGUUUUGUUUUUUUUUACCUCUGGUUGUUUACAACCAUGAGAAAAUAUGCAAGACUGACUGAAAAUGACAGGAUCAGACUUGAGUCAGACUUGUAUAAUGGGUCUCAUUGGUUCACCAUCUGUAUUUAUUGAAGAACUUGGGCAAAAAGAUAUUUAAAAAAACCCCACAAACAAUGUGUGAAAUGUACUUUUGUUUUGUUUUUCUGGAUAAUAAAAAUCUGGCGCCAACUCCCAGACCAGAAAUCCAGAGACUGUAAUAUAACGUCCCAGUAAAGGUCUCCGAAGACAAGAGGUAGAACCUGAUUUCACUUCACUGUGGUGAAUCUGUCCACCAACAGACUUGGAAGACAGAAGCAGACACGGUGUGAUGUGGAAAUUAAAUUUCACUUAAAUCUCAGGAUGUUCUCUGUGUAAACAUGUUCCUCUCAUCAACAGACCUGACCCUGCUGAGACAAUCGGAGCACGCGUGAUUGAACUCAAACACACAAUAGUGCGUGGGCCGUGGUGUGGCUGCAGCCUGGCCCACCAGGAUGAAUAAAAGGCCCUGCCGCAAAGAAUGGACGCGAGCCAGGCUUAGAUAAACAAUACAAGUGGCUGAGGGCUCUCGUCAUACAAUGGACAACCGACGGAUGUCGUCGCCCUCACACAGGGCCCGACACAGCUGACACUUCAGACUGGAACAGUAGAGUCCUGCUGUGUUCCAACAUCCACACACACUGAAGAGAUGCAGGCCAAUGAAUAACAAGGAACCAAUGAAACAAGUGGUCACCCCUGGGUGUGAUGAGAGAGGAGAGGGACCGGGAUGUACCAGUUUUGAUGCCCACUGACCAGUUGGGGUUGAUGUUCUUGGUGUAGUCCACACGACGGAAGGGUUCGUUGGAGGCACAGACGUAACUCUCACCUAACUGUUUACACGCAAAUGUUUCCUCCUCGGAACACAGUCAUGUGACCAUGUGAGGGCUUGGCCGUGAAGAAAUUUGCAAAGCAAGGAUGUCUGGCCAUUGUUGGACAGGAUUGACCUUACACUUCACCUCUGUAUUCGCUGUGUUAAUGUGGGACAGUGUUCUAUGGGUUCUGCAGGUCUCCCUCUCUUCUUCAAACAGGCAAUUUCUCUGAGAUAAAAAAAUACUCUCAGCUGCAGCAUCACAUCCACCCUUACCCUCUACUAGGUCAUCCAGGCUGCUGAUCUUCCUGCCUCCGUCCAGCGUGUAUAAGUUCCUGACGCCCUGAGGAAGGUUGACGUUGUC